rnacentral:rRNA from 1 species
AUUGAACGCUGGCGGCAUGCUUUACACAUGCAAGUCGAACGGUAACAGGCCGCAAGGUGCUGACGAGUGGCGAACGGGUGAGUAAUGCAUCGGAACGUGCCCAGUCGUGGGGGAUAACGCAGCGAAAGCUGUGCUAAUACCGCAUACGAUCUAUGGAUGAAAGCGGGGGACCGUAAGGCCUCGCGCGAUUGGAGCGGCCGAUGUCAGAUGAGGUAGUUGGUGGGGUAAAGGCUCACCAAGCCAACGAUCUGUAGCUGGUCUGAGAGGACGACCAGCCACACUGGGACUGAGACACGGCCCAGACUCCUACGGGAGGCAGCAGUGGGGAACUUUGGACAAUGGGCGCAAGCCUGAUCCAGCAAUGCCGCGUGCAGGAAGAAGGCCUUCGGGUUGUAAACUGCUUUUGUACGGAACGAAACGGCGAGCUCUAAUACAGUUUGCUAAUGACGGUACCGUAAGAAUAAGCACCGGCUAACUACGUGCCAGCCGCCGCGGUAA